GGGCAGACUACACCGAGGCUGUCAAGGAAGUGCAUCCGAGCCUUUGUGAUCCAGGCCAGAGCAGAAGUAUUAGCGAUGAGACGCUAGAGAACUUAGCCAAGACGAUCGGGAGUCAGGGAUAGUGGACUUGUCAGAACUACUUGCUACAAUCGAAAGUAGUAUCGCCGAGGAGAAGGAAGAAUCACUCGGCAGACAAGAUAUAAUGGAAUGAAUGGAACGGUGGAUUAGUGCGUGUGAAGAAGAAAGCAAGCUUGAAGAAUACAAUAAGGAUGAAAGCCGCUUCAAUGCAACCAGAGGAGCACAUUUGAAUCUAAAACGUGCAGAAAGAGCUCGUGUCAUCGUGGCCAAACUCCCCAAUCUUCUUGAAUCAUUGAAGUCCAAAACGCGGUCUUGGGAGGACGAAAGAGGCAGGCCCUUCUUAUAUAACGGGAUUUCUCUACUGGCAAUUCUAGAAGAAUAUAGCUUGCUACGACGAGAGAAAGAAGAAGAAAAGCGCCGACUGAGGGAGGAGAAGAGAAUGCAGGAACAACUGCAAACUGAGCAGGAGCUGCUCUACGGCACAAAGCCGUCCAAAAAGGGACAGGUGGGACUUCGCGUGAGUGGAAACAAUGCAAACCGACGACUUUCGAUAGUCCCUGAGCCCUUACCCGCACCUAAGGCUAGCAAUCAGGGUCCUCAAAAGGGUAGCCGGGUGAAACGCUACUCUCCGAUGAUGAAUUACGUUGCCUUGCCUAAGGAUCCCGAAGCUUCUUCAAUUGGAUCAGCUCCGGAUUCUCCUGUUGCAGCAUGAAGCGGUUUUGAAAAUUAGGACGAUAAGCGGGGUUUAUACUUGCUCCGUGUUUUGUGUAUUGGGAAAGCGUAGGAGCGUGUGCUAUUUGUUCAAAGCUUUGAUUGGUGUAAAGCAUCGAACUAAUUGUUUCGUGUUAAGUUUCAUUCAAGCUUCUGCUGUCGAGAAUUGACGCAGACAAGUUCCACGCAGGCUAUGCUCUCAAAUGAUUCAAAGGCUCGCAAGCUUGACAUGCUAUGUACCAGAGAGCCGAAACAACGGUUUUAAAAGGACUCCAUUCCUAUUAUGGAGUGCAUAAGCUCCUACCACGAUCUCCUGUCGCAGAUCGAAAGUCACGGGCACGAGCUGAAUGUGGACAUUGCGAAGCUGGACAAGGGGGCGACCAGCAUUCAGGCCAUGCUUAACAAGUUUAAUACUCACAAGCACCGGAAUCCAGAGUUCCGCUACUCUGAUGGAGCCGAGGAGUGUCUUGAUCUUGUCACAAAAUGGAACGACAAGGCGCAAGCACUGCUGGGAUCACAGGAGAAGCGUUGUGACAAGAUCUCGGAGCUGAUACACAGCUACGAGGACGAUCUCCUUCCGAAAAUUGAAAGGUACGAGCGAGAAGAGUUGAGAGUGAUACAGCCGAGCACUAGCUUCGCCGUACGGAGUUCCCCGCAAGACAGAGGCCCUGCAAAAAAAUAUGUACGGCGUGUUUUUCCUGAUCCCAUGUUUGGGGGCCAUGAGCAACUGCUGGAUGAGGUGGUGAAUGCCCUCUUGGA